AACGUAGGUCACAAGCGUUGUCCGGAAUUACUGGGUGUAAAGGGAGCGCAGGCGGGAAGACAAGUUGGAAGUGAAAUCUAUGGGCUCAACCCAUAAACUGCUUUCAAAACUGUUUUUCUUGAGUAGUGCAGAGGUAGGCGGAAUUCCCGGUGUAGCGGUGGAAUGCGUAGAUAUCGGGAGGAACACUAGUGGCGAAGGCGGCCUACUGGGCACCAACUGACGCUGAGGCUCGAAAGUGUGGGUAGCAAACAGG
rnacentral:rRNA from 1 species